AGUGGACGCUGGCGGUAGGCCUAACACAUGCAAGUCGAACGGCAGCACAGUAAGAGCUUGCUCUUACGGGUGGCGAGUGGCGGACGGGUGAGGAAUACAUCGGAAUCUACUUUUUCGUGGGGGAUAACGUAGGGAAACUUACGCUAAUACCGCAUACGACCUACGGGUGAAAGCAGGGGAUCUUCGGACCUUGCGCGAUUGAAUGAGCCGAUGUCGGAUUAGCUAGUUGGCGGGGUAAAGGCCCACCAAGGCGACGAUGCGUAGCUGGUCUGAGAGGAUGAUGAGGCACAGUGGAACUGAGAGACGGUACAGAGACCGACGGGAGGCAGAAGUGGCGAAGAGUGGAAGAUGGGCGGAAGACUGAACCAGGCAUACAGGGUGGGUGAAGAAGGCCUUCGGGUUGUAAAGCGCUUUGUUGGGAAAGAAAAGCAGCAGGUUAAUACCACGCGGUUGUGACGGUAACCAAAGAAUAAGCACCGGCUAACUUCGUG
rnacentral:rRNA from 1 species